AACAUCGCGCACCUGCGGGAACCUGCGGAAGGAUCAUUAUAGAAUUGUUCGAAUCCAUACGGACACAUUCUUAAAAUCCGUAUCCACACCGGCAGGGCUCUUUUCGGGCCUUUGCCGUAGGGUUCCUUCUUUUUUCUUUCUUCUCUGUUAGAGUGGAGAGAGGGGAAGGUUCCUGUCUGACCCUUGCCUAUAAUUUUUAUAUUGUCUGAACUUUUUAUUUUAUUAUAAAAUAAAAACAAC
rnacentral:misc_RNA from 1 species